GACGAACGCUGGCGGCGUGCUUAACACAUGCAAGUCGAGCGGAGCGGCGAACGGGUGAGUAACGCGUGAGUAACUGCCCCCCUCUCUGGGAUAACAGUUGGAAACGGCUGCUAAUCCCGGAUAGUGGGGGCUGACGAGCGUCCUAUCCGCUUGUUGGUGGGGUAGUGGCCUACCAAGGCGACGACGGGUAGCCGGCCUGAGAGGGCGACCGGCCCCAUUGGGCUGAGUUACGGGCCAAACGGCUACGGGAGGCAGCAGUGGGGAAUAUUGCGCGAUGGGGGAAGCCCUGAUGCAGCAACGCCGCGUGCGAGAUGUCGGCCUUCGGGUUGUAAGCCGCUUUCAGCCAUGACGCGGUAGUGGCAGAAGAAGCACCGGCUAACUACGUGCCAGCAGCCGCGGUAAUAC
rnacentral:rRNA from 1 species